rnacentral:lncRNA from 1 species
CCACCUUAACCUACGAAGUUUCUUUUCCCCAAUUUACACAAAAAAUGCUCUUUCAAUUCAACUUGAUUUCUGUCGCCACAGUCUUGCAAUUUGCUUGGCUGCAGCACAACGUCUAUGUUCUGAACCAAUUAAAGGCUAUGGCUAUCAGCUACUAACUUUUCUGGUUUUAGUAUCAGAAAUUUCUCAAUCUGGUCAACUUUAUUCCACAUCCCUUUUGUAUUUGUAGGUAUGCACACAGAGAGCCUUAAGAGUUUAAUGUUGGAUUUGAGUUGACACUAUCCUCUGUCAGAUUCUAAGGUUAUUACAUAGGUGGCCAAGUUCAGGCCUCGCAUCCAUCCAUUCACUAAAUAUCAUCUCAGCUGGAGAACUGCUGUAGAGAUAGGAUCUAAAUGUGAUCAGGAAAAAAUAUCGCCUGCAAAAAGAAACAAAUAAAACCGUUAUUAUUAAACAGUUUUAAACCUGUUUUGCAGCAAAGAACCUAAGAUGUAAUGUUAACAGGCCAUUGCUCUGGGAAAAAGGAUUCACCUUUCCCUUCCAAGGAAAAGGCUAACUAUAAAAAGACCAUAUAGCAUAUGAAUGAAGUACGGGCUUCUCAAGGACAAAAUGUUCACUAUAGUGCACUACUCUCAGUCCACAUUAUGUGUUUUCAAUAUUUAUGCUCCAUCAACUUUCUAGAAGAAAAUUUUCCAGACUUUUUUAGUUUUCAAUAUUUUAUAUACAUUUCUGUUGCACAAUCGAAGUUCAGUAAUAUGCAUUUCUGCCGCUCAAUAUAAAUUCCAGUUUAUCUUAAUCAAGCGUUCAAAAGAGGACCUCGAAGAUGGUGUAAGAGCAGUAUGUUUGUUCCUUGAAAACUGAGCAUAUUCUGUUCUCUGCUUCUACCUUCCAUUUUUAUCAACAAAUUCUUCAUUUAAAAAAGAGAUGGAUGAAAAUUAACCUUAAAGCUCUAAUGCCCAUAUCCAUGACAUAUGCUCGACGUUCUUCAUCUUCAUCUAAUUUCCUUUCCAGCUCCUGUGAAUAUUGAACAAUAUCUUCUCCCAAAUGACCUGCACCGGCACACCUUUGAAAAAUUGAAAGAAACUGUCAGAGAAAAUAUUCAGAAAAGCAGUGGCUUGCAAUUCAGUUGAUUUAACCCUUCAAGGUCAAACUAGUUAGAUCAAUUCCUACACCUACACCAUAUCAAAGUAGAAGCAUGACCUGAGUCUACUGAUAAGUGGCAAAAUUCUGUUUUUCUGUAAGUUUCGAACUUAAAAAGCUGGUCAACAAUGAUUUCCCCACUUCCUGCUGUACAAAAAAACAUAUUCUCUCUAAUGACUUUAUUAAUAAUGAGAAAAUCUCCUGUGCACAGGUAGAUACUAAAAAGUAUAUAAUUUACAACACUCCUCUAUUUCAAUUAGUUUGUCUUACUUUCUAUUUUAGCCCAUUCAAAAAAAGAAUACCUUUUUCUAAACUUGCCAACUCUCUAAUUGCAAUAUUCCACAUAGACAUGUUUAUGACUACCAGAUUAAAGGACAUUUGGGUACAGUAUACACCUUUAGUUAACAGCCAUAAGACUGAGAAGUCUUCUUUACUUUCUUAAACUGUGUCCAGUCAAACUGAAACGGAGAGAAUAUGAUUCUUCCCAAACAACACCCAAUUUUCGAUACAACUAGAUUCUGUAACUUCAAUGGCGCACCAAGAAUAAAUUAGAAAUGAGAGACUAUUGCUCAAACUCAAGUACUCAUUUUCUAUCCCAUGGAACGCUCCCCUAUUUCUUUACUUCCACAGGAGUCAGGACCCAAAUGAGUUCUAGUCGAGCAACAUUCCUGUCUCUCUGACUGCUUUCUGAAUUUUCAGAUGGAGAGUACCUCCUUCACUAUGUCCAACAUUGCCCUUCACAGCCGGGGACAUCUCAAAUCUCACACCUCAAUCGAGUUGCCACCAGACAAUAUAAUAGGAGGUGGUUCACACCUUCCCCUUAACAAUUACAUAUGAAGCACCGACAUAUGUAAUCCGCCUCUUUCUCAAAUUUUCACUCGCUGCCAAAAAAAAGGCAAAUAGGAGAACUUUUUUGAGUGUUGAGGAUUCCAUACAAAUGAAGGAAAACCUAAUUCCUCCCCUCAAUAAAAGCUUAUGAGAACUAGCUCUUCUCUCUCUUACUUUCUAGGACUUUAUUGAUACUUUCCAUACUCUCCUCAAUUUUCUCAAUCAUCAAGGGCUCCAUGAUACUUGGUCCUUAUUGGAAGCAUCAACGGUAAGCCCAGAUAGGUACUCAAAAGAGCUUCAACCCUGCCAGAGCACAUGAUGCAUGUGUCACAAAAAACUAAAGUCUCAUAUGCUUUCUAGAAGUCUUUUAGCCGUAUUAGGAAAUAUAAAUAACUUCUAGCACUCCUCAUUUUCAUUUUUAUUUCAUAUAGUAUUGGUCUAAGAUAACUUACAUGGGAAGCAUGGUCAAUCCGGUAUAUAUAGCCGACCCCUCCUUGUUUGGGACUGAGUGCAAACAAGAGAUGUGAUACCCUUACUGCGCAUUGCCCCCCGAUCGCUGCAAAGAAGCCCUCAAGUACCACGUGCUACAAAUCUAUCCAUCAUUCUCCCCAAGAACUUCCAUUACCAGGAUGAAUAGCAUGGGAGAUAAUGAGUCCUCUGCUAGAUGCCUCGACCUUCCAAGUAAACCAGAUGGGUUACCAUUCACUAGGAUCAAAAUCCGACCUUUCAUAUGAAAAACAUGAUCCACUUCCUCCACCUACUCGCCCCAUCUUCAACAUUAUAAAGUACAUGAACUCUCUAUUCACAUGAUCAUAUGCCUCCUUAAUGUCUAGUUUGCAUGAAAUCCUCGUGUCUUCUUUCCGAAUUAGCCACUUCAAUUACCACCAAAGUUGUGUCUAGGAUUUUUCUUCCUUCCACAAAUGCAUUCUGAGAGAUAGACAUUGUCUUCUCCAACUCCUUUUUGAGUUAAGUAGAAAGCAUCUUAGCGAUUAACUUGUAGAUGCUUCUCACUAGACUAUAGGUCUGUAGUCUCUACAGUCUGUUGGCUCCCUCUUUUUUUGAUCUGAUGACCAUUAAUAGUGCACUGAGGCUUCUUUCAAAUUCCCCCCUCUUGAAAUGCAAUGUGGUCAAGUCUUGAAACAACCUUGUGGUAUGGAAGCAGAGUCUCUUUCACCAGGGGCAGCUCAGGCAGAAUGGUCACCCGUGUAUUACAAAUGGAUUCCUUUCAGGUUCCACAAUCUUCAUUCCCAGUACUUCUGCUGCCUUCUAUGUACCAAGUGAACUCACAAUUAUUAUCUCAAGAAGCCCCAAAUUCUCAGUGCAAAUUAUAGAAAUUCCUCAUGCGAAGAAAUCGCUCCUCCUUUAACCGUACUACAACACUAUCUGAAGAAAGCCAAGGCAAAUCUUUUUGUCUUUAUUUUCCAAGGAAUAAUUUAAUCAAUAAUAGGUAAAGCUCCCAUCUACAAGAAGUAUACCAAAAAGUAAACAAAGAAAUAAAUGGUUCUCUACAGAAGACACCCGUCCUUGAAUAAGAACCUCAUGAGACACCAAGAAAAUAUUAAAGAUAAAGAGGCUAUUCUUCAAAUGUACAAAAUCAAGCUCACUUCCUUCAAGAGCUCUUCUAUUUCUCUCUCCAUACUACCCACAUCAAAGCCAAUGAAGAAAUAAAUCAUGCCCUAUAUCUUUUACUGUGUCAUCUAAAAGCCCAACUGAAUAUAAUAUCCUUCACCGUACCCGGUAUAGUCCAAAAUCAAACCAUCUCAGAAUCUUUGACCAAAGUUGUGACGCUAUCUGACAAUGCAAUAGAAGGCAGUCCACAUCCUUUCCUGUAUUUUGCACAUGAGGCACCAACAUAAGUGCCUCUAACCAUGCAAAAAAAAAUACAUCUUUCUCGCGCUUUUGGGGAUCCGAACGGACAGGUUUGGGAAGACAUGUACAUCUUUAUAGAGCAGCUUACCACAGUAAGAUGACUUUACCGAUAAACGAGCACCCUUCCCUAAGCCUUAUUACCUAACAACUUGUCACUGCCUCCUCUCUGUGUCUCCCCCUUACCUUGGACUAAUUAGUUUUACCCAAUUCCCCUAAUAUAUACAGAUCUUAAUAAGCAUUAAGGAUAUAUUUGACUCACUAAUUGUCUUCACCCAAUAAAGUCAAUAAAGUUCAGUGACUAGUUCCCUUUACUGUUGAAUAGAGAAUCCCCUAACUGAAUCUAAAUAAUCCUUACAAAAUUUAUGGUAUGAGAAGUUUAUGGAAUCUGUCCUCAACCAAUCUCCUGUGUAGUACUUCAGGAAGCUGAACUGCUAAAGGAAGCGAGAAGGAAACCCAUGCAAUUAUGGAUUAAGUAGAGGAUGUGUACCUUUCUAUUACAGCAUCAACAUGAGUCUUGCUCUCGGGGCCGUGCACAAGAACCCUAGUGAGGCUUAAUAUGUCCCGAUAGUCACCCAUUCUCCCAGCUUCGUCAUCAGAAAUUUGAACAUCGAAAUUCUCUACAGAUGAACAAGGAAGACCAGUACUUCCAAAUGGUCGCUGAAUAUCUAAUGACAACUUAGCCUCAGCUUCAAGCCUUAAACAAAUAAUAGCCAUUGCAUAAGCAAUCCCUCCAAAUCCUGUGUGUGAUACAAAAAGGUAAGCUCCUGCAGAGCUGUUUAGAGAAAAGAAAAAGAACAAUUAGUUUAAUUUUCCUUCUAAUGAGAACAUAGAAAAGGAAAUUACUGAUUAAUAACUCAAAUAAAUUCUUCAUCCAACAUGGGUAAAAAGUCAUUAGUAGAAAGACAUUUUUUGCCCUUUGGCAAUCAAAAUCACACUGCACCUGACACAGAACAGAAUUUUUCUCUGGAUUCAGAGAGACAACAACAAAAGAAGAAGUAUGUUAUAACACUACUCUUAUCAAAGAAUGAACGGUUAAAUCUUUUCAAACACCAAAUCAAGCCAGACAACUUCAGGAAUAGUAGCUUUUGCGCCACUAACUAGUAUAAAUUGGCAAUGACAAGUUAAUGAUAGUUCUAUCAAGAUUCCUAAACUCACAACAAACAAGCAACAACAUAACCAGCGUAGGGGAAGCGUAGGGGAAGGUAGGAUGUACGAAGACCUUACCUCUCCCUAUUGCGGGGUAGAGAGGCUGUUUCAGAUCAAGAUUCCUGAACUCACGAUUACAAAAAAAAAGUACAGCGAGGCAUAUCCUAUUAUUUCCAAUUGGACAUUCACAGAGAUAUAUUAGAGUUGCCGAGCCAUUACACAAACAUGAUUUUACUUCUAGAUGUAGAGCGAUCUGUCAAUGUCAUCCUUGUUAGAAUAUGAGUAGAAAUAGAAAUAGUAUACAAAAUCCCACUUUGAAAAGGAUUAUAUUGUAGUGUCUAUAAACAUGGUGUCAAUGUAAUUAUGUAGACAACAAUUCAAUAAUAUUUAUUCUCACAUGGUAUCAGAACCAGAACCAGGCCCACCCAGUUCAUUGUUUCCAAUGUUGGGCCCCCCCGUCUUAUAUUGUCCACGCUCCAAAUGUCCAGCCCUGGACGUGCGGGGGGUGUUGGAGUCCCACAUCGGUGGGUUAAAGGGUCCAUGGUCUCCUUAUAUGGACUUGGACAAUCCUCCCCUCAUGAGCUAGCUUUUGAGGUUGAGUUAGGCCCAAGAUCCAUUCUUUACCAUGGUGAUGGCUGCAGAAGGACUAGGCACUAUCCAACUUUCAUAUACAAUCAACGAAUUAUGCCUCAGUUCAAAUAUGCCAACUUUUCCCUCACAAAAACGGCUAGUGACAUUUAAAUGUUCUUUAAAUUAUGUGCUGCCACUUACUCGUCUUUACAGUAUUGGAUAGCAUCAAUAUCAGAAGACAGGGCUUCUUUUUCUCUAGUCAACGGUAUCCUCCUAUAGGUUAUGUCAUACCCUUCACAUUUCAGGCUUGCAUAUACCUCAGCAGGAGUCUUAACAUCAUCUACGAAUAUGUUCUCCCAAUAUCCAAUGAUACUAACUUGAUUUGAAGUCGGGUUAUACUCUUCACGAUGCAAAAGCAUCCUACCACCAGAUUGUCUAAUCUCACAUUGAAUGUCAUCUUUUAACCGUGCCUCCAAGUGUUCCACCUGUGGGGAAAAUGAACUUAAAUAGAUAUAAAAUCAUCAUAUAACCAUGUUUGAAGGGGUAAUUUGAUUAAAGACUGACCAAUGGACCAGUGAUUCCGACAUGCUUCAAGGAUUCAACAGGCUUGUUCAAUUCUCUAAGAACAAAAGGUGUUCCAUUAAUAUAAACAACAGCCUCUUCUCUCAGAUCAGUCAAAAUUACUCUUUUAGCAAUUUUUUCUUUUGACGUCUGCUUUGCACCAAGGUAAGAUAACAUUUCCUUUGCACCAGCAAUUGUAGGAGUUGCCAUGCUAUAAAUGGGGUAUCCAUCAACCUAAGUAUGAGAAAUUCAGUAAGAAUUUUAAGCUUUAGCCAUGAAAAAAAACUCAAAAUUCACAAAUUUGAAAAACUGUGCAUAUUCACUACAAAUUUUAUGUCCUUAGCCUCUAUCUUACACUGUAUUCUAUUCUUACAUUACAAGGUCAAAUAAAUGCAUUGCAGUUGCAUGACAUUUAAAAAUGUUAAAAACUCUACCCUAUACAAUUAGGUAAAAGUUGAAUAUUUGGUUUAUUUAUUCUGUGCCCUGAAUUCUGCCUGAUUAGAAGGACAGAGUCCACGCCGUGACAAUUUGGAUUAUGGAGAUAUUUGUUGAGAUCUAUAAUGGUAGCCGAGGGAUAAACCAACCCCCUACUGCAAUUCGGAUUAUGGAGAUUUUGUUGAGAUCAAUAAUGGUAGCUGAGGGAUAAACCAAUCCCCUAUGAACCGCUGAUUGAAUAGGGGUAGAAUACUUUGGAUUUCUUUGUUUGUCCCAUUCUUUAUACAUUGCUUUGGUAAGGUUUGACAAACAAUAUUUUUGUACUUCCAUUGUUGUUAAUAGUAUAUUCUGUAAUCUUCUUAAGCAUAGCAAUUUUCUGCUUACUUGAUCUUGCUGUGCCAUUGUUUUCAUUUCUGGCUUUACAUUUAGAUCUCUAAUAGUAGCAGAGGGAUAAACCAGCCCCAUACUGCAUUGCUGAUUGGGGUACAAUACUUUGGACUUCUUUGUUUGACCCGAUUUUCUACAUAGCUGCCUCCCUUCUUUCAGCUUAGGGUUUACUUACUGUUUAUUGCUUUCAUUUCCUAACAUUCUAUGAUGCCGGUUGGAAAAAAUAACAAUCUUCUAUAACAAAACCAGGCAUAAUCAUGAAUCAUCUCCUCUUUUUUUUUUCUUUUUUUGUUUCUUGUGUGUUAUUUUGUGGGUAUAUUCUUCUCUUCAAUUUACUGUGUGUAAUUGCAUUUCAUCAGAGUAUUCUUACUCAAAUUUUUGCAUUUGAUCCUAAUUUAAAGUCUAUUUAUGUAUUGAUCUCUCCUAAUAUAGGCAACAAAAAAAUAUGCUUAGUUAAACUUCGUAGUAACACAUUUACAGAUGUAAUAUAACACUAUAUAUAUAACUGCAUGCUAUUUUAUUUUUAUUUUUUUAAAAUGGAAGAAAAUAUUUAGCAUACACCAAAUAUACUGUAUGCUAAAUUUCACUCAAAGUAUUAUUACUCUAUCAAGUUGAAAAUAGUUCUUUGCCAUAUGAUGUUUAUGUCGCUACUUGGUUUCAAAUCUAUGUGAUGAAAAUUGUGUGCAUGGUGCAUGUUUUUUUUUUUUUUUUUUUUGUGGGUGGGGGGUUUGGGGGGGGGAAAGUGNNNNNNNNNNNNNNNNNNNNNNNNNNNNNNNNNNNNNNNNNNNNNNNNNNNNNNNNNNNNNNNNNNNNNNNNNNNNNNNNNNNNNNNNNNNNNNNNNNNNNNNNNNNNNNNNNNNNNNNNNNNNNNNNNNNNNNNNNNNNNNNNNNNNNNNNNNNNNNNNNNNNNNNNNNNNNNNNNNNNNNNNNNNNNNNNNNNNNNNNNNNNNNNNNNNNNNNNNNNNNNNNNNNNNNNNNNNNNNNNNNNNNNNNNNNNNNNNNNNNNNNNNNNNNNNNNNNNNNNNNNNNNNNNNNNNNNNNNNNNNNNNNNNNNNNNNNNNNNNNNNNNNNNNNNNNNNNNNNNNNNNNNNNNNNNNNNNNNNNNNNNNNNNNNNNNNNNNNNNNNNNNNNNNNNNNNNNNNNNNNNNNNNNNNNNNNNNNNNNNNNNNNNNNNNNNNNNNNNNNNNNNNNNNNNNNNNNNNNNNNNNNNNNNNNNNNNNNNNNNNNNNNNNNNNNNNNNNNNNNNNNNNNNNNNNNNNNNNNNNNNNNNNNNNNNNNNNNNNNNNNNNNNNNNNNNNNNNNNNNNNNNNNNNNNNNNNNNNNNNNNNNNNNNNNNNNNNNNNNNNNNNNNNNNNNNNNNNNNNNNNNNNNNNNNNNNNNNNNNNNNNNNNNNNNNNNNNNNNNNNNNNNNNNNNNNNNNNNNNNNNNNNNNNNNNNNNNNNNNNNNNNNNNNNNNNNNNNNNNNNNNNNNNNNNNNNNNNNNNNNNNNNNNNNNNNNNNNNNNNNNNNNNNNNNNNNNNNNNNNNNNNNNNNNNNNNCCAUUAUCAAACAAUCUUGUUAUUUUCCAGAGCAACAGGAUGUCAUUUAUCCCAAAUGCAUCAUUCGUAUGUGUUUGAGGUCUACUUUUCAGUACUAACGAUGCAGGUGGAUUGAGUUGGCCUUCACUUUCAUCAUCACUUGACAUACCACCACCUAAAUCUGGAUUUGAUGCAUCAUGCAAUACUCUAAUGGGUCUCCCAUGAUCAAUACGCAAUUUCAAAAGGCAUGCAGUUACAGUUCCAGUAGUAGUCCUCCCUAUACCCAUCUGUAAUCGCAGAAAUAAGUAACAUCAACAUAUCUGUUUGGAGCCAAAUGUCUUCGAAUCGGAAGAAGAAGAUAAUGUAUACUAGGUUACCUGGCAAUUAAAGACAAAAGCAGUAUCUUUGGAAGCAGAAGCUAUGUUAGAAGACAAAACAUCAAAGUCAGAACUUUUUGGAGCUUUGCCAUCAGUGAUAGGAACACGAGCAUACUUUAUAGGAAAACCAUCAGCCUCCAAGCACUUAAAGACCUCCACAGGAGUUUGAACUGCAUCAGAGCUCACAUGUUCCCAAGCAUCGAAUAUUUGACCGUCAUCAGUUUCAUGAAUAACCAUUAUAGCUCCGUGAUAACGGUCAGCUUCUCGCAUAAUGUCAUCCUUUAAUCUAGCUUCCAUUUUUUCGACUCUUUCACGAUCGAUCCCCUAUAUUCAGAUAGUUGUACUUAGCCAGUUUAUCAUCAUGAAUUGAAAUCACAAGCCGUAGAGGAGUCAAGAUCCCACAGCAAAUUCACUUAAAAGAAGAAAAUAUCUGGUAAUUUCAGCAAACUUCAUAAUACAAAAAGCCCUUGCAUUAGAAAUGAAAAUAUUGUAUAGUGACGAAAACAGAAUAAGGCUUUUAAGAUAGAGAACACGAACUUUAACAACUUCUGAGUGAAAGAUAAAAUAGCUACAGAAACACAAGCACAAUUCAAAAUAGAACUACCUGCAUCAUUUGAAACCUAUCAAAAUUAGUUCGAAAUGAAUUCCAGUUUAUGCAAUCUGAUUGUUCGGUACAAAGGAAGUACCUAUUAGAUCCGAUUGUCUUUGAUAACAGCUAAAGGUUCAAAAAGGGGACUUAAAACGAUAUUUGCACUAUGUUCUACUCCCUCCAUGUCAAUUUAAGUAUCUAAAUUUGACUUGGCACAGAGUUAAAUUAAAUAAGGGAGACUUUUCAAUCUUGUGGUAUUAAACUGAACAUGUGCACAAUGUACCAAAAUUCCCUUUGAAUCUUGUGGUCUUAAACAUGUCAAGCACGAUGUUGGAAUAAAAGAGUUACUACAUAUAGAAAGUAUUAAUGUUUUUUAAACAGACUAAUAAAAAACGAAAGUAAGACAAAUAGAUUGAAACAGGGAGUGUAUUGAGAUCUCAUUGGAAUUAAUAUCAAUAAGAAUAUUUUCUAAAAUUAAUAACAUGUGACACAAGAAAUUGCAAGAAUUUUUAAAGUACCAAGAUAAAAAGCUAUAAUCAAACAGAAGUUUCAUGAUCUACUUUUCCUGAUUUUGAUGUGAAAAGAGAAAGAAAAAGAAGGAAAGAAAGAAGAAGCUGCAUUCUUCCAAAUAGAGAAAGCCAAAAGGUAGUGGAAUGGCUUCUGGCAGCACAAUAGAAAUCUAAAAAUUUGGCACAAAGCUUCAAAAGAUGCACCACCAGCAAUUUAUAAAUGGAUUCAAGCAAGAGUUUUAGAAACGAGGACCGAGUACCAAGAUCCGAGACAAGUAUGGAUCUGAUACAGGUCCAUUCAGUUUUUGACUGUUUCUAACAUGCCGUUUUUAAAGGAUCCAUAUAAUGGUUCCAUAUCAUGUUGCACCCGUUUAAAGGAUCCAUAUAAUGAUGCCAUACAAUGUCACACACAUUUGGCAAUGGUACAUCAAUGCAAAAUGAAGGGUCUAUGCAUCGUCAGCAGUAACAAGGUCGACAGAAGUUACUUAUCAAAAAUUUGCAUGAAAUUGCAUUCAUACCGUGUAUUCAAGCAUAUUUUUAUAGGGCCUUUCAACCUCACGGAGUACAAAUGGUUUUCCGUUGAUGUAGAUAACAGGUUCUUCUCUCAUAUUGUGCCAGAAAACUGGACGUCCACCUUUGGAGCUACCAAUCCUUUGAAUAACAGAUCGAAUACCACUGACAGUUGGAUUUGCAACACCAUAUACAGGAAAUCCUGGAAUUUCUCUAAAGUUGGGAGCACCUUCUAAUAUUUCUGGCAAGCCAGGAUGUUGACAGCCAGGACAGUGGUCACUCUUAAGAACAGUUUGAGGUCCGAGAACUUCUCCGUUCCUCAAAGCAGCUACUUGCCCCAUCUCAGAAGGGCGAUUAUCAGCACUGUCAACUAAUUUAGCACGAGACGGUUCCAGGCUCGCAUAACCGAGUGCUCCCAUUGGGUCUCUCCUUAGCAAUCUGCAGCCAACUCCAGCAUAUAAGUCUUCCAAUAUUGCAGGAUUCCUUUGGGCUUUUACAGUUAUUUUUUUUAAAAGCAUCCCUUUGGAGCACAUACAAGUGCUUUCAAAGCUCUAUAAACACUAGUCCAAUGUCAAGAAUCAUAAACUAGUGUAUGUAGUAAUAGCUUUUUCAAUACAAACCAUCAUCCACACAAAUGAGAUGUCAUAAGAUAGCCUUCAUUACAUUAGAAAAAUUUAAGCAAAUCAGAACACCAGCCACACAUGGAAAGUAACUAGAUCAAUGUAUCGCAUAGUAGAGACGACUGACUUAAUAAAAUUGAGAGGCUUCUCAAAGUUCAGAUUCACAAGUUUGAAGAGAUGUUUCUACCUUCUUUCUCCAAACAUCAAUCCCCGAGCCAAAUAACUUAAGGGAACUAAUACAGGACAAAUUGAAACAAAUUUAGUGAGUGCGUAGAUUUUCUUGGGAAAUAUUACAGUAAGUUUUCUCCAUAAAAUAUAGAUGCAUUAAAAUACUUAAAUAUUUAAGGAGCAAGUAAAUUGCAUGGCUGCUAGGGUGAUCAGCUGCAAUUCAACAACUGAACACCAGUUUAGUAUAUGGAGAUUAAGAUGUCAAUUUCAGUCAAAUUAUGUUCGCACAGAGGCAUCUCUUUAAUUUCUCACAUAAAUAUAAGACAAAUCAAAUUACGCAACCUUAUGAAAGUUAUUCAGGCCAAACAAUAAUAUACACAUGAAUCAGUGACAAAAUACUGACAUGAAAAAUGAAGUAAGAUAACUACCUGAAAGAGCCAGUUGCAGCAGUAUUUAUGUGCCAAAAAAGAUGAAAGUGUAAAAGCAAUGAUAAGAAUAACUACGACAAAAGUGGCAGCAUAAAAUCAUGUAAGGAAAGCACUUUAAACACAAUAGCAGAAUAUUUUAUCCUUACCGGCGGAUUAUACUAUACAACUCUGGUCUUGCUUUCAUCCAAUCACUAAAGCUACAAUGAGCAGAGGACCCUGCAAAAAGUGCAUCUCGUUGUGUAUGGAGAUAUACAGCAAAACAUAUGAGGAAGUAAUAUCUUUCGAGGUACUCCACAAAAAACGAAAGUGCUGCCUCUUUCUUCAUUUCAUCAGGUUGGCGCAAAAUGCUAUUGCGAUAGAUGGCAAUAGCCUCACGUAAGUUCUGCACAUAGAUCCACAUAUUAAAUUCAAACGGAAACUUUGCAUCAUAAUUUUUUCUUCUCAGAUCCACACAAAAAGGAACUGCAAAAUUUCAAGCAUCCUCAAAUGAGAUGAAAUGAAAGGGAUCGCAGAAACAUUCUUCAUGGAUUGUUCUCAUCACAAGAAGCAGUCAUGCCAACAAUAAGACAGCAUAGCAGAUUGUGUAGAGAAAAUAACCAAAGGCAAAACGUAGUAGAAGGGAAACAUGUUCUUGCACAUAAUACACCCCUACCUGCAUAGAGGAACAUUUGUCUAUGACCUUAUCCACUUGCCUUUUGCCUUCGACACCGCCCUUUGAAGCACAAAUCCAGUCAUUAUUAAAUCAACAAAAUGCCAAAUCUGCUAAAAUUAUUGAAAUAGAAAUUUUUAUUUUGAUACCUCUAAUACCCGAAUCAAGCUUCUAAUCACAGUAUAUUCCCCUCUACGUAUUGCCUCCUCUGAGUUUGCUAAUGUGUCAUUCAGAUUGGAGAGGCAGUCAGAAACUCUACCAAUGGAAUUGCUUCUCGGAAUCCCUGUUAGAUGAAAGCACCUCAAUAAUGUUUCCAGCAAAUAUUUAAACAUAGAUCAAGUCCCGGCAAUCUACCUUCACAUUUUUUUUUGGGGGGGGUGGAUAAAGUAAUAAGACUUUAUAAACGAAGGGCAAAAAAUUGCCAGUAUACCAGUAUACACAAAAAACUAAAAAACUUUACUAGAAGAUAUGGCGUUCUACAAACGAAAGUACAUCACCUAAUCAUCUAUACAUACAAAUAAGGAACCUCGUGGGUAAACAAAGAAAACAAGGAGAAGAGGCUAUUCUUCAAGUGUACAAGGCCAUUCCGUCUUCUAAGGUUCCAACUAAACAUCACUUGUUUUCCGGUACCUGGCAUCAUCCACUGUACCUGACACCACUUCUUCAUUCGAGCUUUUACACAUAAAAUACCGACAUAUGUAAUCUUCCUCUUCCUCAAAUUCUCAAUCGUCAAGAUCAUCCCCCUCCCCAAGAUAGUCAAAUGAAAAAAACACAUCUCUCUCGAAACCCUUGAGAUCCAUACCGAUAGAUAUAGAAAAAGAACACCAUCACCAAAAGUUUCUCAUAGUAAGAGUAAGCAGAAAAUGUGCCACUAUUCCCCGGACUCCAACUCCAUAUAUCGUGCAUUUCUUGUGUUCGUGGAGAAAUUCACUAAAAUUUGAAAUUCUGCAACUCCCUCGUUUUGCAAGUUUCUCCUCAACACCAAAUCACAGUGAACUUUCACUGUGUAACCUUUGUACAUGUUGGACUAGCAUCUUCUUUUGGAUUAAAAUCUAGCUUAAGUUUCAAAAUGAAAUUCUCAAAGCAUCAUUCCCACACCAUUUGUGACACCAAAAAAUUACUCUAUUUCCAUCCCCCUCCUCGAAUGAUACAUUCUCAUUAAACUCUGCCCAACCCUUCAAUAAAUUCAUCUAUAUAUAAAUUCGAUAUAAAAGGGUGACCGUCUUACUCUUCCAUCCCCCUUCCAAAACCACAUGUUUCUCCAUGGUCAUCUCCCUGCAAAGAGCAAACCCCAAAUCUCCAUAACCACUUUCCUAAUAAAUUCCAUAUCAAUACUUUACUAUUAUAAUGAUCUCCUGACUUACCAAAUCAUAGAGUUUCCCUCGGCGUUUUUUCCACAAGAUCGACAAGGCUCAACAUUACACAUGCCUUUUCAUCCUCUGCCUGCCAUUUUCCUUUUUCUAGACAUUUUGCCAAGUAGCAGAAUGGGUUGGACAGCAAACAGAACAUACAAAGAUCUAUGAUUUCUCAUUGUCCAAUUAAGCCAUUCUACUAAGUGUGAAUCAACUACUAGCAGAAAUGAGGGACUUAAUAUUAAAUCUAGUUCUUGCAUAAAAUGUCCUGCUAACAUAGGAGCACUCAUACUAAAAAAAUGGAAAAGCAAAUUUCUUUUUUGUUCGAUGAGACAAUGCCUCACGUGGCCUCUACUACACAUCUUUCGUUCGCCCUAGACCCACCCAUCAAAUGGAACUCUGCCCUUUUGUUGGUUAACUCGAUUAUGAAGUCUGGAGGAUCUGUCAUAUACCCCACCCCUUACCCAUUCAAGGGCCACAUGAGCUUUAUACCUAAAAUCGGUAUCUUCUCGCAUCAAACCUUCCCUGUAUGAGUGUAUGAGUGAUUUUGCUGCCAAAUUGAUUGUAUUUUGUGGAAUAAUUACCGGACAAAAAUUAUCUUUAAUUACAAGAUAUCAUGUUCAAUGCUGUCACAGUUAAGGAAAGCAUGCGACUAGAGCCUGCUUAUGUUUUUUUCUUUUUAUGAAAUCAAAUUUUUAUAUGAUGGAAAAAAUCUUUGCAUGCAAUCUGUUAAAAGUCAAGAGAAUUAAUGCAAUUAAUUACAAGCUAAAGUAGUCUGGAUUCAUUCUCUAUGUUUACGUUAGUAGUAUGGAAUGUGGUUUCUCAUUCAGUCACAACUGUGAAUUUCAAAAUUCUACUCAUUACUAACUCUUCUUGAUUCAAGAAGUAUAUAAGAAGCAUAUUGUAUGUUUUUCUUAACCAGUUCAAGCAAGUUCUAUUAUGUUAUCAUCUCUUUUGUAUGAUAUAAAAGUCUCCACAUUUUGAUAGACAUUAAAUAGCUUUUACUUACCCACGAGGCUCGCCAUCAAUCUGGCCAAGGCUCAUUCUUCUCAAAAUACUCGUCUUUUCAUAUGAUUGCUUCAACAGCACUGAACUUACUCUCAGUGACCCUUCAAUGGCUUUGUGUCGCUUUUCUCUGGAGGCAUCAUCUACACUAUUUUCUAAGUGUGAAUCAACUACUAGCAGAAAUGAGGGACUUAAUAUUAAAUCUAGUUCUUGCAUAAAAUGUCCUGCUGACAUAGGAGCACUCAUACUAAAAAAAUGGAAAAGCAAAUUUCUUUUUUGUUCGAUGAGACAAUGCCUCACGUGGCCUCUACUACACAUCUUUCGUUCGCCCUAGACCCACCCAUCAAAUGGAACUCUGCCCUUUUGUUGGUUAACUCGAUUAUGAAGUCUGGAGGAUCUGUCAUAUACCCCACCCCUUACCCAUUCAAGAAUAAAAAAGGUCCUUCCAACUAAAAAGGUUUAAUAAAACAGAAUCUAAGAACAACGAGCAAGGGAGUAUUGGAGUAUCUGGACAUAAAGGAAGAGAAGAUGUUCUGACGGAGCAUCAACUCCAAUUCACAUUGUAAAUGCUAGAUAUAUUUUAACCAAUUCGGUUGGCACAUGCUCGUUUUUCUAUUGGUAAAAGUAUGGGAUUCUUUCGUUUAUGUCCCUCCAACCUAACUUAAUUACCGGUGCUAACCAAAGUAUACAAAACCUUUAGAGUGAUUAUGUAUGUAUAGUAUAUGUAUAUUUAUACUUAAAUAUAUAGAACCUAUACAGUUGUUGGUUAUUUGGUAAACUAGAUCACCCAAAACAUUGGCUUGUAAGUAUCCCUAAAAUUAUGGUAUUAAAGAGCAGCAAACUGCUGCAAAGUAUUCACAUUGGAAAGCCUCAUUACAUGUUGUGUAAUGAGCUCAAGUCUAUAAUGGACUCUACAUCAUUUGCGAUUUCCAUCUUACACCAAAAAAACAAGAAGGAAUGCAUCUGCCCUUAAUGCUGAUAACAGAUUCCUUUUUUUCUCUCAAUAAUUCUUGUAUUCCUUCUUUCCAGAUGAUCCGCCAGAUGGAAACAGGCAUUUUAUUCCAGAUCUUUUACUUUUCCUUGCCCAACCCUUUCAAGUACCAACAUUUUAGGAGCUCAGUAGUUGUCCUAGGCAUUGCCCAGCUAACCCUCAUAAUAUUCAGAAUGCCAGACGUGUGUGCUGAAAGUGGUCAAAGUGCAGUGAAUGAAAAGAUGGCAUAAUCUCUUCCCCGUAAACUGCCAAGAUAGCCCAAUAGAUUCUGUUAACUCCCCAAAUAUUUAGUUUAUCUCUCUAUGUGGGAGCUGAUCUAUAUUUUCUAGCGCUAUGUAUUUUUGAUUUUCUGCAUCCACUGGAUGCCAUUAAUGAAAUUACUUAUUGCAUUAGAACGAAAAAAAACUGAAGGCAGGAAUAUUUCUAAAUUGGAAAUUGAAGGGAAAUGCCAGGUCUGACGUCAUAGAAAAUAAGAAUUACCAGAAGCCCCUAUUCGAUUAAGGUACACCAAUGUUGCAAUCACCAUUCCUGUGGUUGUCCGCCCACGUCCCAUUUGGCAAUUAAAAAUAAUCUGUGUGUUCACAUCAGCUUGAGAAACUCUAAGAACCUACGAUCAAAAGGAGCCAGAAAAACAAAAGGAAUAAGACAAAAACAAAUGUUCAAAUCAAACAUGGAAAUGAUUUAGAAGAGUGUCUCCAUAUUAAGACAGAAAUAUUUAUAAAAACAAAAGCACAAUUUUAAGAGCUUAAAUGUGGUCAUAAAAACAUGUCUGACAUCCAUUUUUAGACUACUUGAUUAAAAAGCAAAAAAAGUUAAACAACCAUAUCAUGUCAAUAUGCACAAAAGAAGUCUAACUAAUGAGUCACGAGAGUAGCAAGACUAUAACAGAAACGUAAAGUCUUAAUUUUAAAGGUAAACGAAAACCAGCUAGCUCCCUCCCUCCAAUUACACGAAAUUUAAGACACUACCUUAAAACGACAUACAUUCCUCUCAAUUUUUUUAAAAUGGUAAAAUGAAAAACAAGAAUUCAUAAAAUCCCUUCUUGUUUUAGUUUGCAAUCUAGAAACCUUGCUCACUAAUUUUUUUCUGAAUAUUCAACCCAAAAGCAAUCCUGUCUUGGGCAGAUUACCUUAACCACUCUCUCAAGGAUAUACUAAAGAAAUACAUCAUGGCUUAGCUGUGAGGUUAUAGUGGGAUUUAUUAGGUGGUUUGGCAUCCGAUGGGUGAUGCCAAAAACCGUAAAAGAUUACCUUCUGAAAGAGUGGGAGAUGAAGGAGAAGAUGCAAAGCAUGGAAUGUCGCUUUUGGUGCACCCAUGUAGUCACUCGUUGUAAGAGGAUUAGGUGACAUUUGUGAGACUCAUAUAAUUUUGUAGUUUCUUUACAGUUUGGUACACCACUUAUAUAUGACCAUAUAUUCCUGGCCCUAUUACUAAUGAAAAUACUUUUACUUGAUCAAAAAAAAAAAGAUUGUACUAAAGAAGAAAUACUUGACUAUUUCUUAAGCAAAAGUGAGGUAGAUUGGAGUCAACAACAACAGUUGGGACUUAAACUUCAACCAGAACCUUCAAGUAGAUGUGGAGUCAACAACAAGAGUUGGGACUUAAACUUCAGCCAGAACCUUCAAUGAUUAGAAAGUGGAGGAAGCACAGGACUUCUAAAUAAUAUUUAUGCUAUUAAGAUCCUGCAAGAGGGUGACAUUCCUCGAAUUGUGAGGGAGUUCCUUCAGGUACUUUUACAGUUGGAUCACUGCCAUGCUAUAUAGACUGUGAAACUCAAGGACUUUCCCUCAUGCAGCUGUACGGGCAAAAAAAGCACCUAGAAAAUCGGCAUUUUAACAACAGCUUCUGGGCAGUGGAGGAACCAGGAAUUUCAAAAAGGAGAUACAUAAAGUUUGAACAUAGGAACUAGCGCAAUUCUUAACUAUCUUUGCACAAGGAGAUCCAAAAGUUAAUAAGGAUAUGUUUGCCUUAUUUGCACGGUAUUACUUUCCAACAAAGGGGUGGUUGUGGCUCCACCACUACUUCCUGGAGUUCAAUCUCAUUGGAAAGAAAACUCAAGAGAAGUAAAAUAUUUGUUUAAUUGGUGCUUUAUGUUUGAGGGGCUGAAAAGAGGUUUAUCACCUAGCACGGGUAUGGCCUAGUGGUUCAAUGAAGUGGGGUUGAGUACCAUGAUGUCUUAGGUUCAAUUCCCAACAUAGACAAACACUAGGUGAUUUAUUCCCAUCUGUUUUAGCCAUGGUGGAUAGAGUUACCUGGUAUUUGUUGCUGGUGGGAGGUGACAGGUAUCUCGUAGAAUUAAUCGAGGUGUGCACAAGCUGACCCAGAAACCAUGGUUAUCAAAAGAAAAACUGUAAUUUUGCUUCGAAUUUGUGAGGGAGUUUAGAGUCUAAGUUACUCAGACUCUUCACUUUCGGUGCUGCACCCGUGCUGACACGACAUGGAUGUGGGUGUGGGAUCCGUGCCCAAUCUGGUCAGUCGAUUUUAGUUACUCUGACCAAAAUCAACUGGGAAAGUCUGGAUAGAUUUAAGAAAUUUUGUAAUCAAAACAAAAGCUAAGGUGAAAUUGAAGAAAAUGGAAUACUUUGUAUAUAGAAAUUGCUAUGUUAAUGUGUUAACUUUUAUCUCCUUUCAGGAUUUUCUUCUUGAACAAUAUUUUCUCCUCAAAUUUUCCACAUAAUAUCACAUAAUUUAUGUUUUACAACUCUAUUUUUAGAUAUUUAAAUUAUUUUUCGAUAAAUCCCCACACCCAUAUCGAUCCCUAGAUCCAUAUCCUCGAAUCUUUAAAUUGAGACCGUGAAGUAUCCGUACCCAUAUCGGAACCCGCACCCGAGUUCGAGCAACUUAAUUUAGAAUGAAGGAAAUCAACUUUGUGAUGCCAAACACAGUGUAACAUUUUAAAUCCUGGAGAACGUAAAGAGGCAAGGUGAUAAGUUGCUUGGACUCGGAUGAGGGUGUCAGAUAUGGGUGUAGAUCUAGAGGUCGUAUCCUUCAUGAUCCAAAUUUUAAGAAUCAGGUAUAUGGAUCCAAGUACGAGUGAAAUAAUUCAAAUAUCUAAAAUCAAAGUUAUAUGUGUAAAUUAUGAGACAUUUAUGUGAAAAACUAACGAAGUAUUCUGAAGAGAAAAUAUUAAUCAAGAGGAGAAUCCCAAAGGGAAAUAAAAGGAAAAGGUCUGACAUCGAAAUUUUUACAUACAAGAUAUUUCAUUUUCCAAAAUUUCACUAUAGCUUUUGUUUUGAUUUCAGAAAUCAUUAUAUCAGUCCCAAAUUUCUUCACCGAUUUUGGUCGAAGUAGCCAAAAUAGGCUGACCAGAUUCGGUACGGAUCUCCUACCCAUAGGCCACACCCACAUGCACGUCAUGUCGACACGGGUGCGGCAUCAAAGAUAUUUCAUUUUUCAAAAUUUCACUAUGGCUUUUGUUUUGAUUACAGAAAUCAUUGUAUUAGUCCCAAAUUUCUUUGUCGAUUUUGAUCAAAGUAGCCAAAAUAGGCUAACCAGAUUCACCCACAUGCACGUCAUGUCGACGAGAGUGCGGCAUUGAAGAUAUUUCAUUUUUCAAAAUUUUUCAUAUAGCUUUUGUUUUUAUUCCAGAAAUCAUUGUAUCAAUCCCAAAUUUCUUCACCGAUUUUGGUCAAAGUAGCCAAAAUAGGCUGACCAGAUUCGGUACGAAUCCCCCUACCCAUAGGCCACACCCACAUGCACGUCAUGUAGACACGGGUGCGGCAUUGAAGACAUUUCAUUUUUCAAAAUUUCACUAUAGCUUUUGUUUUUAUUACAGAAAUCAUUGUAUCAAGCCCAAAUUUCUUCGCCGAUUUUGGUCAAAGUAGCCAAAAUAGGCUGACCAGAUUCGGUACGGAUCCCCUACCCAUAGGCCACACCCACAUGCACGUCAUGUCGACACAGGUGCGGCAUCGAAAGUGAAGAGUCCAAGCAACUUGCUAGGGAGUUGCUAGGGAGUACUGAAAUUACAAUAAGAGGGCUUUUGAAGGACAGGAAAAUUCAUUGACGCAAAUCAAAGAACAUUUUGUUAUUCCCAGUAUACUCUUAAAGAAUACGUCAUAUUCUCUAUUGUCUAGAUGAUUGUAUGGGAUUUCUAGAUUCAAAUCCUUAGUACAGCCUUAGUUUGAAUAGAACUUGUAUACGGGGUGCUCUCUUUUGUUAAGACAAAUCAACUAAUUGCAAAAUUAAAUUGAGCAAAGAGAGUUGUAACUUUCUCCUAAUUUUUUCUUGGUGAUAAAGUGCAAAUAGCUGAUGUUUUUACUUUAUACUCCCUCCAUCCCAAUUUAUGCAGCAUAUUUCGUUUCCUGAUUAUCAAACAAAGUAAGAUAGACCAUGAAUUGGCCAUGAAAUCUUCAGUUUUUUUAAAAUAAAAUUUAUAUAUUUGAAAACUAUGUAAAAAGUACUAUAAGCCAGAAUAAUUGACUAUUCAAAAUAUUUGAAAUAUAUAUGAAAAGUUACAUCAAACACAGACAUGUUUGAAUCUCUGGAAGGGAAAUAUGCCACAUAAAUUAGGACGGGGGUACUAGCAAUUUUCUAAGCCACACAUGAAUAAGUUGGAGGAUAUAAACCAUAAAUGCUUUUAAAAAGCAACAAUAAAGGAAGAAUACUUCAAUACCAUAUAUGUCCUUUUUUUAAUAAAUGUAAGAUCUGGUAUUAAUAAGGUGUAAACAAUAAGAUAAUUAGAAUUUACACAACCAUGUGUUUUUCCACAUUAGAAACUAAUGAUCAUUACAAAUUGGAACAGGAUGUAUACUCCAAAAAAUAUACAAAGUUCAACAAUCUUCCACUUUUAUCUAAAUUAGAGUUUACUUCUUCAAGGUCUCAUCUAUUUUUCUCAUUUAAUAUUGUCCACAUGAGUGCUUAAGGAGUUGCAUCACAUUCUUUUUAUAUCCCUUUUUGUACUUCCAUCUGCGAAGCAGCGCUCUAACAAUUGUUGGCUUAAUCCAACAAGUUCCAAACAUAUAUAGGCCAUGGAGCAAUGAUCCGUAAAGAUACACAUCUUCCCCCGCAAUCUUGCACAUGAAAAAGUUAAAUAUCCUAAAAAACAACUUUGGAUGAAGAACCUCUCUCCUGAGUUACCAAACCAAAAUAAGUUUACAAUGACUUGGUAAGAUUUCGAGCCUAUAUGGAUCGGCUUAUUUUAAGUGCUUUUAAGUCAAACUAGCUUUUAAGCACUUUUAUAGCUUUUGGGAAAUAAAAAAGUGUUUUUAAGACAAAAAGACAAAAAUAAGCCAAAAUGCAUAAGUUAGAAUUCCUAACUUAUGCCUUUUAAGCCAAAAGCUAUAAGCCCAGCCAAAUAGGCUCUUAAGCACUCCUUGUUGAUAAUAGAUAUGUUAACUUCAAAAAAAAAAAAAAAACUAAGCACUCCUUUGUGUUUAAGCGGCAGAUGUCAGGUUUAGGACAGGCCCACCUAUAAAGGGUACUAGCUCAUUAUCAAUUCAAAUCCAAGAUGGAUAAUCCACAAUCUAAAUCCUAGUUAGAUUCAGAGAUACAUAUAAAUACACCACAAAGGGUGCAAAAAAAAAAUAGGUAUUCACGCAAAACAGAAAGCUGUAGAGUUCCACCAUCAUGCAAAAGCACAAGGGAUUUAAGCCUUUCUUGUGACGAUUCCUCCAGUAAUUCAAGUCGCAGUAUAAGACAUGUACUUUCAUCAAGAGAAACUUAAUAAGUCUCCUAAACUAUGGAGAACAUGUCAAAUUUUGAGAAGAAAAAUGGCUAGGCAACAACACCGUAAAGGAUGAGUAUCCUGAAUUAUUCAAUAUGGCAUUGGACAAGGUCUUCUCAAUUGCUCAGAGUAGAAGCAAUAACAUCUGGGACAUACAUUUCGGAAGACACCAACAAGACUGGGAGUUAGAGGACUUGCUGGAAAUUGGAAUCACUAGACAAAGUGGAAACAUCUGACAUAGAUAGAAGUAUUUCGGACAAAAUGAGAUGGGCCAGUAAAUGCAAUUUCUUUGUUAAAGAUUGCUAUAGACAACUUGGCAACCAAGAUUAGGUUAUUGACUCAUGGUCCUGGAAAUUGAUUUGGUGGACCAAACUACCUAUUAAGAUCAUAUGUUGGUAGUGGUACGAACUGCAUACACUUACCCUCCCCAUACCCCACUUUGUGGGAAUAUACAAGGUAUGUUGUUGUUUCAAUUGGAUGGCCCUCAACAAUGCCAGCCUUACUCUAUAUAAAUUAAAAAGGAGAGGAUUUCAACUGGUCAAUAGAUGCUGUUUCUGCAAUUGUCAGCAGNNNNNNNNNNNNNNNNNNNNNNNNNNNNNNNNACAGUCAGCCAACUCUUCCUACAUUGUUCAUUAACUUUUGACCUUUGAAACAUAUUUUUCAGUAUUUUUGGAUUAAUAUGGGUGAUGCCUCAGAAUCUCAGAGAGGCUCAAAUGAGAUGGAAUCUUUGGAAAGUUGAUAAGGCCAUCAAGAAGACCUGGUUGAUGACCCCUGCUGCUAUUUUUUUGGAGCCUUUGGAAUGGGAGAAAUAGAAAGUGUUUUGAUGGCAUCUCAACUCCAAGCCACAUUCUCUUAAAGCUAAAUGUUUAGUUAAUCUUUUUUGUUGGACAAUGCUGUCAGCAGUAACUAGUUCAUUAUAGUAUUUGGAUUUUAUUAGCACUUUUGAUAGCAUCCAACGGUGGCAUACCCCCGAUGGAGUUCAAUGGGAAGUCAAGAAGAUGUUUAUCAUGGAAGAAGAGCCCAAGAACGAGUCCAGGAAUUAUGGAGAAGAAUGGAUUAAGUGCUACUCAUAUUUUAUGGUUCAAGUUCAAGCCCGAAUAGAAGAAUAUUGGAGCCCACAUGAAACUGAAGCUUCUGCCCAAAAGUGAGCAUGAAAUCCACACCCAAAAGGAGGAAAAAAGUCGCGAAUAAGUGACUUUGGAAUGGUCAAAUAUUUUGGUUAAAAUUUGGAAACUUUUCCUUAAUUCUAUAGGAGAGAAUUUUUGGUAUUAUUAUUGGCCUCCUAUAAUUUUGCACCUCUUUAAUGGCCUUUCUAUGAAGCACGUUACUUCUUUUUUUUAAUGAAGUAAGAUGUUGCAUUGAUAUUUGGCAACUGGAAGGUGCCAAAUUACAAAAGCAAAAGUCAGUAGGCUUUUGAAGCAAAAAGAAAAAACAUGUUAGCCUCUGUUACAAAAGAGCUAUACUAGUACCAUCAACCAUGGAGCUAACAAAGUUCAAAAAACUGUUCAUGCUAUUAACAGGAGUAAGAAAAUUCCACUAAACAAAACAACUUAAGCAUCUAGCUUUCAGGGCUUGAGUUGGAGUUGAUAUCCCAUCGUAGCACCUGGGGGUUCCUUUCAUUCCACACAACCCAAAAGAUGACUGCCGGAAUCAUUUCCCAGACCUUCUUGAUGGUUUUGUCAACUCUCCAAAAAAUCGAGCUACUGUAAGCUUCCUUGAUGGUCCGAGGGAGGUUUCAGGAUGGUCCAAAAAUAGCUAGAAAGAAAUUCCAAAUUUCAGAGGUGAGAGGGCAAUGAUAAAGUAAGUGAUUGACACUCUCUAGGCUUUGAUGGGCUUUGAUGGCAAAAAUAACAUCUGCUAGCUAGAACAAUUUUGCUUUUACAAAGGUUGUCCCGAGUUAAAAUUGCUUACCUGAGAGCUGUCCAAGUAAAGAAAGAGACAUUGAGUGGCAUUUUGGUUCUCCAGAUACGUUUCCAGGGACCUUCCUCAAGCACACCAUUUUGAAAACACAAUAUUGUAACCUUCUUUGACUAUGAACUUCCCCUCCCUUGAGCUUCCCCAUAAGAGCUUAUCUGGUACAUCAUAUGUGAGUGAGUCUCCAACGUGGUUAGGAGAGUUAUCAGAUCAAUGAUCUCCCAGUCAUUUAGGUUCAUUCUUAAUAAAGGUCUCCAUAUGUUGUCCUCUCUAUUUUGAGCCACAGAUGUAUCCAGGUUGCUGGCAUUAAGGAAUAUGCUGGGUAAGAGUUCCUUGAGUGUUCCAUUUCCAAUCCACCUAUCUUUCCAGAAUUUCACAUUCAAGCUAUUGCCAACUUUAAAGGAUAUGCUCUGAAAUAGGGCUUCAUGGAAGCUGUUGACAUGUUUCCAGAGUCCAGCACCAUGAGGAUCUGGGCUAACCUUUGGACUCCAGUGAUUCUCAGCUCUAUAUUAACCUGCAUCUGGUUGUUCAUAUCUCCACAACCAUUUCAUUAGCAAGCUUUGGUUAUGUUGUUUAAGCUUCCUGAUGCCAAGUCCUCUAGCAGUUUUUGGUUGGGUGAUAAUGGGCCAUUUCACCAGAGAGAAUUUGAGACUCUCGUUGCCGCUUUCCGAUAAAAAUCUCCUCCUUAAACAGUUCAGCUGUUUUAAGACAGAGGCUGGCAUAGAAUAUAAUAACAUAAUAUAGGUUGGAUGUAUCAAGCACACUACCAUUCAAAGUUAGCCUGCCCCUAUGGAUAGGUACUGCAUUUGCCAUGUUGCAAGCCUUCUUUCCACUCUUUCUAUCAAUCUUUCCAAAUUCUAGUGGAUUUGAAUUUUGCACCCAAAGGCAGCCCAAGAUAUAUAUAGUGGGUAAGGCACCAAUUUUGGAGCUUAGAGAUUCUGCUAAUACCUGGCACCAAUUUUGGAGUUUAGAGCUUCUGCUAAUACCUCCAAAUUAUGAACACCUCAUUGACGGGAUAGAUAGUGCCUUCUGAGCAUGUUAAUGAGUAGGCCUGUUAGAGCUUCAUAAAUAAGCAGAAUGAGGUAGAGAUUUAUGACUUAAGAUCUCUCGUCAUCACAGAACAUCAGUGUGUCAUCUGCAUAUAGCAGGUGUGAGACACUGACUGAGUCAAUUAGAUUACAGUAAGCUCCUUUGCUUUACUUAGCAUCUGAGUAAGACCUUCCAUUGCCAAAAUGAAAAGGAAAGGGAAGAGAGGAUCUGUAAUACCCCACAUUUCGGACUAGGAUGAAAAUCCGUCAUUCCUAUGCGUAGACGUUUCAAAAGCCUCGAAUCCUAUGUAAAUUUAGCGUGUUAAUCAAUUAUGUAGUGUGGGAAUCUAUUUGAGCAUGAAUUUAGAUCAUAUAGGUCCCCUAACUCAAGUACAAGUUGAAAGCUUUCCUAUCGCUCAAGUUUUAGUGAGCGUCAAAACUCGGGUCAACUUCAAUCAACCAUUACUCGUUGUAUAUGACGAACUGAGUGGUUUACUGUAUAUCAAAUGAAAGCUCUUUGAAUUAGCUUUCCAACGAUACCAAUUUCGCCUAAAUCCGAUAUCGGAGCAAAGAGUUAUACCCAUUUUACUCCAGCAUGUUUGGCUGGAAACUGGUGACGACAUUUUGUGACAAGCCGUCACGCCCGUGACGGCCUAUCAGCAAUGUCGUCAGACCUGGGCAGAUUUCUGACCCUGGUGACGACAUUUUGUGACAAGCCGUCACGCCCAUGUCGGCCUAUCACCAAUGUCGUCAACCUUAACACGAAACUCAAAAUUUCACCCUUUUUUGACGACCUUUUUGAUGACGUCGUCACAUUCUGACGACGUCGUCAGCCUUAGGCAGAAUCCAGCUUCUGUGUGACGACAUUUUUGACGGCCUGUCACAUUUUUGAUGCCUUGUCACGAAUGUCNNNNNNNNNNNNNNNNNNNNNNNNNNNNNNNNNNNNNNNNNNNNNNNNNNNNNNNNNNNNNNNNNNNNNNNNNNNNNNNNNNNNNNNNNNNNNNNNNNNNNNNNNNNNNNNNNNNNNNNNNNNNNNNNNNNNNNNNNNNNNNNNNNNNNNNNNNNNNNNNNNNNNNNNNNNNNNNNNNNNNNNNNNNNNNNNNNNNNNNNNNNNNNNNNNNNNNNNNNNNNNNNNNNNNNNNNNNNNNNNNNNNNNNNNNNNNNNNNNNNNNNNNNNNNNNNNNNNNNNNNNNNNNNNNNNNNNNNNNNNNNNNNNNNNNNNNNNNNNNNNNNNNNNNNNNNNNNNNNNNNNNNNNNNNNNNNNNNNNNNNNNNNNNNNNNNNNNNNNNNNNNNNNNNNNNNNNNNNNNNNNCUCUCAAGAUCAAAACUCUCAAGAACAAGCCCUAGGGUUUUCAUAGAAGAGUCUAUUUCAAGGAAAUUUCGCCGUCAAUCUUCACGAAUUCUUAAUCUAAGGUAUGCGUAGUGUUCAUCCAUGGGUCCCUUUCAUCCAUGGAGCUCAAGAAUCAUGUUUUAAAUUAUAAAUUGUGAUUUCCUUGUUGUUUUAUGACUAUAUUCAUGUUAAUGAUUGUUUUUUGGAUUCAAGGUUGUGUCUUGAUGUGUUUUUCAUGAAUCAUGUGAAUAGGUUAGUUGGAAACCAUGAAUUUGGGUGGUUCAAGAUUUCUAAAUUGGGUGGAAACCCAUGAAUUUGGGUGGAAACCCAUAAAUCAUGCUCCAGAUGUUUCUUUUGUGGUGAAAAUGCUGAGACAAUUAACCAUCUCUUUCUACACAGAAAUCUUAUUCGAAAAAUUGGAGAUUAUUCUUAAAUCUCAAAGGUAUAUCAUGAUCUAUGCCUGGAAGGAUUAGAGAGGCAAUCCAUAGCUGGGACGAAGCAGGUUUGAAGGCUAAGAACAGAAGUAGAUGGAGAAUGAUCCCUGCAUGCAUCUCAGCAUCUGGUGGACAAUUUGGAGGAGAGGGACUCUAGAUGUUUUGAGACAAUAGAUAAUACUGUGCAGCAGAUUAAAAUGAAUUGUCUAGUGACUCUUGUGCUUUUGGUGUAACCAGAUAUAUUCCAAUGACACUGUUUCUAUUAUUAAUGUUUUAGAUUCAAUAUAGUCAUAGGACAGUAGAUUCGAGUUCUCAUUAAAUAUGGUUACAGUACAACCUAUGUACUGAUUCGUUCAUAAUGAAAUAUACAGUUACCAGAUCAAAAAAAAUUGAUUGGUUGCAUAAGACUAAAGUUUUCAAAAAACUUUUAUGGUCUAAUUUUCAUGAUUUGGCCAUCCAAAUCAACUUAAAACAACUAUAUUCCAAUGCAUGAGGUAUUAAGUUUAGACGUAACCUCUGACCAAGAAUAAUAAGAACUUCAGAAAAGGAAACUCCAAUACCUUCGUGAUUACAAGCAAGGUAUCCUCAACAUAAAAAAUGGGAAUCAAUGUAAAAGCCAAAUAAAGAUACAGAUACUCACAAGAAUAUCAAAAUCCAGCUCUUUAGGUGAUUUUUCGUCUGUAAUAGGAACCCGCUCGUAUUCAACAAGAUACUCCUUCGAUUGCAGUUCCUCGUACACCUAACUUAGAGGGAGAUGUUCAAAAUGAAAAUGAGCAAUCAAUACAAUCUUUUCUGAUGCCAACUUCAAGAAAGCUUUCGUAAACUCAUGAAACCUGUAAGGGCGUUUUCACAGAAUCAUAUGUUACUGGCUCCCAUUGAUCCACCAUCUGACCAUUAGGAAGCUCAUCAGUUACAAGGAUCUUAUUUCCGUAUCUGUUGUUUAUCAAAUAGAAGAGUUCAGAUAAAAAUGUUGAUAACGUGAGCACCGAGACAUUUAAUAGAUAUUCAUUCACGGACAAUAAAAUAGAGAAAACAGUAACCUUGCAGCUUCUAGUAGAACAUCUUCUUUCAAGCGAUCCUCCAUUUGCUCCACUCUUUUCCUGUUGAUUCCCUAUUUAAUAUAAAAUCCAAGUUCAUAUCAAGAAGAAUAUCAACAUAUAGAUUAGGAAAAUAAAUGAAGUUAAAAACUUGCAUUAGAAACUGACAAAUACCAGAUAUAGAAAAGUUGUGAGCAUACACAAGAUAAAUGUGGAAACCAAUAUGCAUUGCCAGAAGAACGGUUUUACCCAUAACAAGCAGCACUAGGAUCAUGCAUUCUUGCUGAAAUCUUCUAGCCACUUGGGGACAAGGAGAUCUUGCAUCCUUGCUGAAAUUCUGAAGUUCAACAAUGAAGCUGAAACAAGGAAUCUAUGUACUGAAGAUUUGGUUCAGAGAGUAAGUCUUCAAAUGGGACUAGAAUAAAAUAUCCAUAAAGGAAGAGAUCUUUUGGCGGCGAAAUCAACAAGGCAUUUGGCUAAAAUCGGGGGUAGAAGCUAGAGUUUGAAGUCUCCAAAUAAAAAUUUGAUGUGCACUAAUUCUCUUUGGAGAAACGUUAAAUGCAUCAAAUAUUGCUUGCUUAAGCCCCUGCAUUACUAAAGCCAAUCCUCCACCUCUUGGUUUUAGUGUGAUAAAACAUCAAAGAAUAGAGAACAUUGGUGCUUUUUCCGGGAACAUUCUUCCGGGUGUGUGAGGAAGUAGGAAGGUUAAUCUUUGGCAAGAUUCUUCGCUCGGUCAACCAGGUAUUAAGAGCCACACUAUCUUAAUAAGGUAAAAUUGCUUGUCCACAAAUCCUGUAUAGCUUUGUAAUAUGUUUAUGUUCAUAUUAUGAUGUGCCUCAAGUUAUUAAAACUUAGAAGGCCAAAAUAAACAAUUAAAAGACUUAGUAACUGUCAUAAUGUCAUGAGACAUUUACAGGGUGGUUUAUUCGGUAAAAAAAGGGCAGGGCAGUUAGAAGAAGGUAUUCAGAAAAAGGAAAAAGAAAUUCUGGGAGAGUUCUAGCCAAUCGAAUAUCUAGGAAUACUGAAAUCUGUGUGAAUUUAGUGUUAUGUACUGUAUAACUGAAUGUAUUAGGAGAAAAUUUAUAGCCUUAGCAGUGUUUCAAGUGUAAGCAGUGUCUGAGUGGUUGUUUACAGAUUUCUUAUUGUAAUAUCAGUGUAUUUAGUAUAAAACACCAGUACUUGUUCCUUUAUUUACAGGUUUCUACAGAGAAGUCUAUCAUAUUACUUGUCAUAAAUCUCUGAAAGAAAGAAUACCCAGCAAGUGUUAGACAAAAGUCCUACAACCAAUGUGGCAUUGAGAAUAAAAAGUAAAAGAAAAUGUCCAAUAAAUGUGUCUUAUGAUAUCUCAUUGAUACCUUGAUCAGAAGUGUUGAAGUUAUUAGUGUGGAUAAGUGUGCCGAGGAAGGUGUGUUUCUUCGCUUGGCUAGCUACUAGAGAGGUGAUUUUGAUAGCGGAAAAUUUUAAAAAGCGGAAGGUUGUCUGCUCAGUUGGUAUUUCAUGUGCAAGAAGGUGGGCAGGGAUGUGGAUCACCUCCUUCUACAUUGCGGGCUUACCAUGAGAUUAUGGCGGGAUACGUUCAAGUGGUUUCGGACGCCUUGGGCAAUGUCAAGUACAAUGAAAUAUUUGAUGUUCAGCUGGAAAAGAGUGAGAAGGAUGAGAAAAAAAGGGACUUGGAACAUGGUUUUGCUUGCGUUAAUGUGGUUAGUAUGGAGAGAGAAAUAGAAGAGUUUUUGAAGGAGUAGAAUUGAGUUUCACUCAGUUGAGGAGUAGUCUCGACUUCCUUAUUUUGCUUGGCAUAAAGAGAAAGCUCCUUGUUGUAUAGAUGAUUUAUAUGGAGUUAUUAGAGAAUCAUAUUUUGUAGAUUCUUUACCUUUUGGUAUAUCCAUUAUAUAAGGCCAGUUUGACCAUGUAUAUGAAUGAAAAUACUUUUACUUUAUCAAAAAUAUCCUAAUCCCACAGAAUCAACAUGAUCAUUAUAUGAUUGAAAAUACUUUCACUUUAUCAAAAAUAUCCUAAUCCCACAGAAUCAACAUGAUCAUUUGAUAAAAUAAAACCAGCAAUAAGUCAAAAUGAAAAUUCAAUCCUAACCAUGACGCACCGUAUACUCGAGAUUAGAGAAGGGCCUUUCUACUUCACGCAAGACAAACGGGCGUCCAUUAAUAUAUAUCACCUGUUCCGUGAUUAGAAAAGAAAAAAUCAUGAUAAAGUUUUCAGGCAUUGAAAUCUUGCAGCAUUUUUUAUCAAAAAGUUUAUGUCCAGGAAGAAACACAGGCAUCACUAUACAUGGUUUAUCUAGUUCCGCCAUCAGCGAGAUCAAGCAUACCAACAUGCAUAUACCUAUGCUCAACCCAAUCAGUUUCAAAUUUUUCUUUUUCUAAUGAUCGUUCAUUCAAAUGCUAGCAGAUAUUUGCACCUUGAGAUACUCUUUUUUUUUUUUUGAAAUUGGUAACUUUGUAUUCCUCAGCAUUAAGGAUAUGCUGGCCACCUCCAAAAACAACAUUUUACAUUGCAUAAAAACAAGACAGAAAUACUUACAAAACUCCUAUGAAGUCCGCCAGUUGGAUUUCAUCUUCUAUAUUCUGUUCUUUACAUGAAGAUGGAUACCAAUUGUAGCAUCUAAGGUAAUUGAUUAAAGAACUUGACGUCACAAAAUUUAAUGGCAAAUAAGUCUGCAUUAUUUUUUUCCUUUUAUGUGUUGAGAAUGGUGACAAGUAUAUGUUUGCUAGUAUCUAAGGAAGUUCACUUGAACAAAAAAUUCAUGAUCUAUCUAAAGACAGGCAAGAGCACUUAUUUUAACAACUCAACCCAAUACAUGAAAGAGAAAAAACUGUAAAAUAAAGAAGUGUGUAUACUCUUUAGAAUGAUGCCUUUGUACAAGGAAAGUCUUUCAUUAAACUUGCCCCAAAAAAAAAUGUACAGAAACAAAAAGAAGGAAAAGGUUGAGAGAGGGGGUGAUAGAAAAACAGGCAGACAGAGAUGAUGGUCUUUUCUUUAACAAAAAACAAUAUGUUGUAUGAUGAGUGGAAUCCAAAUAAUGAAUUUAAAAGUGUAACACAACAUGUAAAAAUUGUCUAUAAGAAUUUUUAUUUUUUUUCUUUUUGAUAAGGUGAGUGUAUUUCAUCAGUAACUGCAAUAUAAUUUUGUGAAGAAAUUUCUAGGACUUCUGAUAGAUUCUUUUUAUGAAUUGAACAUGUGAGAAAUAAUGGAGAAAAAUAUUAUUGAAUGGUGUGUUUACAUAAUUACAUCAAGACCCUAUUUAUAGACACUAAAGUACAAUCCUUUUCCAAGUAGGAUUUGGAAUAUACUAUUCCUAUUUCUAAUAAUAUUCUAACACUUCCCCUCAAGCUGGUGCAUACAAAUCAUAUGUACCUAGCUUGUUACAAAUGUAAUGAAUACGAGUACGGGUGAGGGACUUGGUGAAGAUAUCUGCAAGACUUGACUUCACAAAUUUUGUAACAAUAUCUCUUGAGAGUAUCUUUUCUCUGACAAAGUGACAAUUAAUCUCUAUGUGUUUAAUCCUCUCAUGAAACACUGGAUUUGAUGCGAUAUGAAGGGCUGCUUGAUUAUCACACACAAGUUUCAUCUUAUCGAUUUCUCCAAAUUUUAAUUCUCUCAGCAACUGUUUGAUCCAAACUAGCUCACAAGUUGCUACAGCCAUUGCUCGAUAUUCUGCUUCUGCAUUAGAUCAAGCAACCACACUCUGUUUCCUACUCUUCCAAGACGCCAAAUUACCUCCUACUAAAACACAAUAUCCGGAGGUAAAACGUCUAUCAGAGCUGCCCGAUCAGCAUCUGUGUAUCUAAUGAUAUGCUCGUUACCUCGAUCCUCAAAGAGUAAUCCUUUACCUGGAGUUGACUUUAUAUAUCGUAGAAUACGAACAACUGCAUCCCAAUGACUAUCACAGGGGAAGUCAUAAACUGACUUACAACACUCAUAGGAAAGGAUAUGUCAGGUCUAGCCACGGUGAGAUAAUUCAACUUUCCAACCAACCGCCUAUACCUUUCAGGAUCAUUAAGUAGAUCCCCCUAUCCUGGUAAAAGUUUGGUAUUUGGAUCCAUAGGAGUGUUAAUGGGUCUACAUCCCAUCAUUCCUGUCUCCUCAAGAAUGUCUAAGGCAUACUUGCAUUGAGAAAUAACAAUACCUGAUCUGGACUGAGCAACCUCAAUACCUAGAAAAUAUUUCAGUCUACCGAGGUCUUUGGUCUGAAAGUGCUGAAAGAGAUGUUGCUUCAAUUUGGAGAUAUCAUCUUCAUCAUUGCCGGUGAUAACGAUAUCAUCAACAUAAACCACCAGAUAAAUACACAAAUUUGGUUGAGAAUGUCGAUAAAACACUGAGUGAUCAGCUCCACUACGAAUCAUGCCAAACUGCUGAAUUUUCCAAACCAAGCUCGAGGAGACUGUUUCAGACCAUAGAGUGACCUACGCAAUCGACAUACAUGGCUACUAGACUCAAUCGACAUACAUGGCUACUAGACUCCCCCUAAGCAACAAAACUAGGUGGUUGCUCCAUAUAGACUUCUUCCUCAAGAUCACCAUGCACACCAUGCAGAAAAGCAUUCUUAAUAUCCAACUGAUAAAGAGGCCAAUGACGAACGGCAGCAAUGGAUAGGAAAAGACGGACAUAUGCUAUUUUAGCCACUGGAGAAAAAAUGUCACUAUAAUCAAGCCCAAAUAUUUGCGUGUAUUCUUUGGCAACGAGGCGAGUCUUAAGCCGAUCAACCUGACCGUCUGGACCAACUUUAACCGCAUAAACCCAACGGCAACCAACAGUAGAUUUACCUGCAGGAAGAAAAACAAGCUCCCAAGUACCACUCGCAUGUAAAGCAGACAUCUCAUCUAUCAAAGUCUGCUUCCAUCCUGAAUGAGAAAGUGCUUCACCUAUAGUCUUAGGUAUGGAAAUAGACGACAAAGACGAUACAAAAGCAUAAUGGGGUGAUGAUAAACGAUGAUAACUCAAGAAAGUAUAGUGUGGGUUAGCAUUACGAGUGGAACAUGUGAAGUGCAAUUGAGUGACUAGGAGAAGGCAAGUCCGCAGUAGGAGCAGCGUCCGACGCAUGACAUGAAUCAUCUGGAACUAAUGGUAGACGCGGACGACAAUGAUAAGUCAAAAGUGGUGGCACUGUAGCAGGAGAUGUAGAAGUAACUGUUGAUUCCUUAAAGGUUGGGUCGGGUAAGUCUGGAGAUAUGGGUAAGACCAAAGAUGGUGCAAGUAAGACUGGAGAUACGAGUAAAAUCUCAGAGAUAUCAGAUGAUCAGAAGAUAUAUAGUAAGGUCGAGAUUCAAAAAAAUUGAUAUCGGCGGACAUAAAGUAGCGACGAAGAUCUGGUGAAUAACAACGAUACCCUUUUUAAACUCAAGAGUAACCAAGGAAGACACACUUGAGAGCACAAGGGGCUAAUUUAUCUUUUCCAGGGGCUAAGUUAUGAACAAAACAUGUGCUCUCAAAGACAUGAGGGGGGAU